rnacentral:rRNA from 1 species
UACGGAGGGGGCUAGCGUUGUUCGGAAUUACUGGGCGUAAAGCGCGCGUAGGCGGACUGUUAAGUCGGGGGUGAAAUCACGGGGCUCAACCCCGGAACGGCCUUCGAUACUGGCAGUCUGGAGGACGGAAGAGGUCAGUGGAAUGGCGAGUGUAGAGGUGAAAUUCGUAGAUAUUCGCCGGAACACCAGUGGCGAAGGCGACUGACUGGUCCGUUUCUGACGCUGAGGCGCGAAAGCGUGGGGAGCUAACAGG